CGAAGUUGGAUGCUCAACUGACUGAGCCACCCAGGCGCCCCCUGAGCAGGCUUUCUUAACAGAAGGUCAUGAGGUUUGUCUUGAUAUAGAAAAUGAAUGUGGGGAUGCUGCAGAGUUAUAAGUAGAGGGUUAUGUGAUCAGAAAGUGAAGGAAUAUAUGGCAACAGGGUACUGGAGACACUGACUUCCAAAGGCUAGAAGCAGGACUGGAGUGGAAAUGGUACUCUUUCAUGAGUUUGGUUUCAACACACCUGUGAUGCGAGACAGACCUAGUCUGACCUCAAAAAGACUUGACCUCAAAAAGAUGAUUUAUCCUGUAUUUGCCCAUUUCUCUCCAUCUAAACUGCUACCCUCAGGGUAAAAAUCAAUUACCAGCA